rnacentral:piRNA from 1 species
UUAGGAUUGGGGCUAAUGGUGUACUC